CAUCAAUACACCAAGGCAGUUGGGAGGACUCCUGUGUCUAAUCUGCAGAGGUCUUAGAAGGCUGACAGCCACAGAUUUGUGAUCCAGAUGAUUCACCUCUAGAGCCCUGGCCUUCACCAUACUGAAGGAACAACACUGAAAGAUUGGCCCCAUGCUGAAAUGUGCCUGUGGAAAUAACUAAGAAAU